UGGUAAAGGUGGCUGAAGAAUAAGUGGUGGAUUGUAACUCCAUUUAUGGGGCUAGUCCCUUCUUUACA
rnacentral:tRNA from 1 species